rnacentral:rRNA from 1 species
GAUGAACGCUGGCGGCGUGCCUAAUACAUGCAAGUCGAGCGAAUGGAUUAAGAGCUUGCUCUUAUGAAGUUAGCGGCGGGCGGGUGAGUAACACGUGGGUAACCUGCCCAUAAGACUGGGAUAACUCCGGGAAACCGGGGCUAAUACCGGAUAACAUUUUGAACCGCAUGGUUCGAAAUUGAAAGGCGGCUUCGGCUGUCCCUUAUGGAUGGAACCGCGUCGCAUUAGCUAGUUGGUGAGGUAACGGCUCACCAAGGCAACGAUGCGUAGCCGACCUGAGAGGGUGAUCGGCCACACUGGGACUGAGACACGGCCCAGACUCCUACGGGAGGCAGCAGUAGGGAAUCUUCCGCAAUGGACGAAAGUCUGACGGAGCAACGCCGCGUGAGUGAUGAAGGCUUUCGGGUCGUAAAACUCUGUUGUUAGGGAAGAACAAGUGCUAGUUGAAUAAGCUGGCACCUUGACGGUACCUAACCAGAAAGCCACGGCUAACUACGUGCCAGCCGCCGCAGUAA